AUGGUUGGAGUUGACCAACUAGAUUGUUUUAAACAUCUUAUUGGGAGAAUACAGAAGCUGGUCAAUGGAUGGAAAGAAAGGGCAUUAUCUUAUGGAGGUAAAGAGGCUAUAAUAAAAGUGGUGGCCCAAGCCAUUCCAACAUAUGCGGUGGGCAUUUUCAAAUUCCCAAAGAAAAUAUGUAAGGGGAUCACUGAUACUAUAUCGCAUUUUUAGUGGGGAGAUGGUGAAGACCAACGCAAGAUGCACUUGUUCGCUUGAUGGAAAAUGUUUGUCCCAAAAUCGUGUGGUGGAAUAGGAUUCCGUGACAUACAUAGUUUUAAUCUUGCAAUGUUUGCCAAGCAAUUCUGGUCGCUUGUUGAUAAUUAUGAUUCUCUAUGUGCAAAAUUCUAACAAGCAAAUACUAUCAUGUUGGAGAACGCGGUAAUUUCAAAAAAAUUCAUACGAUCACGCAAGAUCUAUCUAGGUGAUGCAUAG
rnacentral:rRNA from 1 species